UAGGGAAUCUUCCGCAAUGGACGCAAGUCUGACGGAGCAACGCCGCGUGAGUGAAGAAGGAUUUCGGUUCGUAAAACUCUGUUGUUAGAGAAGAACAGCGCAUAGAGUAACUGUUAUGCGUGUGACGGUAUCUAACCAGAAAGCCACGGCUAACUACGUGCCAGCAGCCGCGGUAAUACGUAGGUGGCAAGCGUUGUCCGGAUUUAUUGGGCGUAAAGCGAGCGCAGGCGGUCAAUUAAGUCUGAUGUGAAAGCCCCCGGCUCAACCGGGGAGGGUCAUUGGAAACUGGUUGACAUGAGUGCAGAAGAGGAGAGUGGAAUUACAGGAGUGGCGGAGAAAUGCGAAGAUAUAUGGAGGAACACCAGUGGCGAAGGCGACUCUCUGGUCUGUAACUGACGCUGAGGUUCGAAAGCGUGGGUAGCAAACAGG
rnacentral:rRNA from 1 species